GCCGGGUGCGGUGGCGCGCGCCUGUAAUCCAAGCUCCCGGGAGGCUGAGGCUGGAGGAUCGAAUGAGCUCGGGAGCUCUGAGCCGCGGCGGACUGUGUCGAUCGGGUGUCCCGCUAAGUUCGGCAUCGAUAUGGUGAUCACGGGGGAGCCCGGGACCACCAGGUCGUCUAAGGAGGGGUGCACCGGCCCAGGUCGGAAACGGAGCAGGUCAAAGCCCCCGCGCCGCUCAGUAGCGGGAUCGCGCCUGUGAACAGACGCCGCGGUGCAGCCCGAGUGAUGCAGCGGGACCCAGUCUUUA
ensembl:misc_RNA Metazoa_SRP Metazoan signal recognition particle RNA